UACGUAGGGUGCGAGCGUUAAUCGGAAUUACUGGGCGUAAAGCGUGCGCAGGCGGAUAUUUAAGUCAGAUGUGAAAUCCCCGGGCUUAACCUGGGAAUUGCAUUUGAAACUGGAUGUCUAGAGUGCGUCAGAGGGGGGUGGAAUUCCACGUGUAGCAGUGAAAUGCGUAGAGAUGUGGAGGAACACCGAUGGCGAAGGCAGCCCCCUGGGAUGACACUGACGCUCAUGCACGAAAGCGUGGGGAG
rnacentral:rRNA from 1 species